GGGAACGUGCCUUUAGGUUCGGAAUAGCUCCUGGAAACGGGUGGUAAUGCCGAAUGUGCCCUUCGGGGGAAAGAUUUAUCGCCUUUAGAGCGGCCCGCGUCUGAUUAGCUAGUUGGUGAGGUAAUGGCUCACCAAGGCGACGAUCAGUAGCUGGUCUGAGAGGAUGACCAGCCACAUUGGGACUGAGACACGGCCCAAACUCCUACGGGAGGCAGCAGUGGGGAAUCUUGCGCAAUGGGCGAAAGCCUGACGCAGCCAUGCCGCGUGAAUGAUGAAGGUCUUAGGAUUGUAAAAUUCUUUCACCGGGGACGAUAAUGACGGUACCCGGAGAAGAAGCCCCGGCUAACUUCGUGCCAGCAGCCGCGGUAAUACGAAGGGGGCUAGCGUUGCUCGGAAUUACUGGGCGUAAAGGGCGCGUAGGCGGACAUUUAAGUCAGGGGUGAAAUCCCAGAGCUCAACUCUGGAACUGCCUUUGAUACUGGGUGUCUUGAGUGUGAGAGAGGUAUGUGGAACUCCGAGU
rnacentral:rRNA from 1 species